rnacentral:rRNA from 1 species
UACGUAGGGGGGCGAGCGUUGUCCGGAGUUACUGGGCGUAAAGGGCACGCAGGCGGUGCGGCGCGUUUCGCGUGACAGCGGAGGGCUUAACUCUCCGAGGAUGCGAAAGACGGCGGCACUUGAGGGCCAGAGAGGGACACGGAAUUCCGGGUGGAGUGGUGAAAUGCGUAGAGAUCCGGAGGAACACCGAAGGCGAAGGCAGUGUCCUGGCUGGUGACUGACGCUGAGGUGCGAAAGCGUGGGGAGCGAACAGG